rnacentral:rRNA from 1 species
GAUGAACGCUGGCGGCGUGCCUAAUACAUGCAAGUCGAGCGAACGGACGAGAAGCUUGCUUUUCUGAUGUUAGCGGCGGACGGGUGAGUAACACGUGGAUAACCUACCUAUAAGACUGGGAUAACUUCGGGAAACCGGAGCUAAUACCGGAUAAUAUUUUGAACCGCAUGGUUCAAAAGUGAAAGACGGUCUUGCUGUCACUUAUAGAUGGAUCCGCGCUGCAUUAGCUAGUUGGUAAGGUAACGGCUUACCAAGGCAACGAUGCAUAGCCGACCUGAGAGGGUGAUCGGCCACACUGGAACUGAGACACGGUCCAGACUCCUUCGGGAGGCAGCAGUAGGGAAUCUUCCGCAAUGGGCGAAAGCCUGACGGAGCAACGCCGCGUGAGUGAUGAAGGUCUUCGGAUCGUAAAACUCUGUUAUUAGGGAAGAACAUAUGUGUAAGUAACUGUGCACAUCUUGACGGUACCUAAUCAGAAAGCCACGGCUAACUACGUG